rnacentral:rRNA from 1 species
UACGAAGGGUGCGAGCGUUGUUCGGAAUUAUUGGGCGUAAAGGGUUUGUAGGCUGAAAUGUAAGUCAAGUGUGAAAUCCCCGAGCUAAACUUGGGACGUGCACUUGAAACUGUGUUUCUUGAGUAUCGUAGAGGGUGGUGGAAUUGCAGGUGUAGGAGUGACAUCCGUAGAGAUUUGCAGGAACAUCAGAGGCGAAGGCGACCACCUGGCCGAUUACUGACGCUGAGGAACGAAAGCGUGGGGAGCAAACAGG